rnacentral:rRNA from 1 species
AGGUAGCGAAAUUCCUUGUCAGGUAAGUUCUGACCCGCACGAAAGGCGUAAUGAUCUGGGUACUGUCUCGACCAUAGACUCGGUGAAAUCUUAAUACCUGUGAAAAUGCAGGUUACCCGCGACUGGACGGAAAGACCCCGUGGAGCUUUACUGUAGCUUGAUAUUGGAAUUCGGUGAAUUAUGUAGAGGAUAGGUGGGAGACGUUGAAACUAAGACGCUAGUCUUAGCGGAGUCAACCUUGGAAUACCACCCUUAAUUUAUUGGAUUUCUAACCUAGGACCAUUAUCUGGUUCAGGGACAGUGUCUGGUGGGCAGUUUGACUGGGGCGGUCGCCUCCUAAAAUGUAACGGAGGCGCCCAAUGGUUCCCUCAGAAUGGUUGGAAAUCAUUCAUAGAGCGUAAAGGUAUAUAGGGAGCUUGACUGCGAGACCUACAAGUCGAGCAGGUGCGAAAGCAGGGCUUAGUGAUCAGGCGGUUUCUGUAUGGAAAGGCCGUCGCUUAACGGAUAAAAGUUACCCCGGGGAUAACAGGCUGAUACCACCCAAUAGUUCACAUAGACGGUGGUGUUUGGCACCUCGAUGUCGGCUCGUCAUAUCCUGGAGGUGGAGUCGCUUCCAAGGGUUGGGCUGUUCGCCCAUUAAAAUGGCACGCGAGCUGGGUUCAGAACGUCGUGAGACAGUUCGGUCCCUAUCCGUCGUGGGCGCAGGAAAAUUGAGGAGAGCUAUCCUUAGUACGAGAGGACCGGGAUGGACCUACCUCUGGUGUAUCUGUUGUCAUGCCAGUGGCAGUGCAGAGUAGCUAUGUAGGGAAGGGAUAAACGCUGAAAGCAUCUAAGCGUGAAGCCCCCUCCAAGAUGAGUUUUCCCAUUGUUUUAAACAAGUAAAAUCCCAAAAAGACUAUUUGGUUGAUAGGCUAGAAGUGUAAGUGUAGCGAUACAUUGAGCGGACUAGUACUAAUAGAUUGAGGAUUUAACCAU